CUGUGCUGCUGCUGCUGCAGAUCCUCCAUCCCCACAGUGGAGUUGCUCCCGGGACCGGGAGGAGACGCAAUUCCUAUCCCCCAGCUGCAAACUUCUUCCACAAACAUUAUUUUAUCCUUUGAGAUUUAUCUGUAACUCCCGCAGGGGGAGCUGCAAUAAAUUAUCUGGCCUCGCCCUUCUCCUCACCUGCUCUCACCUCACGUUGGUAUUUCUGGGGUCUGAGCUGUGCUGAGCCUCGAGGGCUCGUGUCAUCUGCAUGUCUCAGAAUAACUUAUGUCUCUCCCUCUGUACUUACGGCCAAACCCUGCCCGGGAAGGACAAAGCAGGAUGGAACGAGAUUUAUCCCUCGGCAUUGUAGGUAUCUGCCCCUAAGCUGUAAAAUAAAAGCUGAAUAAGAAUCUUGAUAAACAUUUCCUUGGGCAGUAUCAAAUAGAGGCCUAGCUAUCGCUGCAGGAAAACUUCUGGAAACUCUGAGUAGGCAGAACACCGCACUGCUUUUGGAGGAACGUUCCUGGAGUGAGGGACUGGAGAAAUCAAAGCAGUUCAUCGAGAAGAGUAAGCAAAGGGAACGCUUGCUGUGGAUGGCACUGCUGUUUUGCACACCCUAAGGCUUGAAGGCUCAAGCUGCACGAGGGCAGGCAGGAGCUGCUCUCUUCUCACUGACCGUUUGCCACGACAUGAGAAUGAACAUCGUGCAACCAGCGACCUACAGCUACAGCUCUGUUCUCCGCAGCAUCCCCGCCUUGAGCAGUGCCAGUGGCACAGCAAAGCCGGGCAAACCAAGAGGGGCAGGGACCAGCUGCAGGGAGGUGCAGGGAGGCAGCACGGAAGUUCACCCACCUUCAGCUUUCAUCCUGUUGCCAGAGCUGGCAGCUGUUAUCCUGGUUGCCAAUCUUCCUGUCCAGCUGUACAUCCUCCAGCCUGAAAACAUCUUCUUCAGCCUCUCAAGCUCACGGCUCACACCGGCUAGCGUGUAUGGGCGGAUGGGAGAUUGGGCUGUCAGGCUGUCAACUUCCAUGAGCCCCAGCUCCUCGGUGAAAGGGAGAUGGCCAUUUUCCCAACAACGUCUCCAGCUUCCUUCUUUACAGCCAGUCAAGUCCAAUGACAUCAAAUAUUAAUCUGGCACACAACUUGGGCUGUCCAAAUGCAUUUUAUAACCAACAGCAUAUCAAAUCCUUGGGACCUGAUGACAAUCACUCCUUUGUUGUCACAUCCUUCAGUCACUUUAACCCAAAUUCUCAGCCAAUUCAAAGGAAAGAAUGGUGCUUCAGAGGACUGAUUACAGCAAAAGAGCUUCAAAACAUGAAAGGAGGGAAGGCAGAGCUGCAACUCAUCACAAAAGAUCCUACCAUAAAAUCUAGAGAAUGAACAAGAAGCCUUAGAUGAUCUCACAGCAAGAGGCUCUGUUGUUAUUUUGAGCAGAGGCAGAAUUUCUCUGCAGGGGCAGAAUUUGGAGCAUCCUGGCUCUGGUAUUUGGGCUUGCAGCUCAGAGUUCUCUGUACAAGACUACAGCCAGUGAGAGAAAAUUAAAAAUUGACCCUAAAUUAUUCAAAGGAAGCCAAGAAAUAAAAGAUAGGCUAAAGAAGAAUUCUUUUGAAUAACUUGAACCAAAAUCCUAAGCACAUUAGCUGGAAGAUUCAGAGAAAUAGCAUGAAGGAAAUUUGUUUAUAGUCUUGGAAGAAAAUGUGUGAACUCAGUUUAGUAAUAUACCUGGCACAGCUGAAGAAAGAGGAAGUAUCUACACUGUACUGGCACCACUACUGACCUUAUCAUAUGUGGAAUAGAUGGCACAGGAUCAGGAGAACAGAAACAGAUCCAUAGUCUCUUGGUGGAGAUGAUUUUGCAGGGCUGUGAUCCAAGCCAGAAGGCUGAGCAGGAGUCCACUUUCCAUGCACAAGCUACCACCGCAGAAAUGAUGUGCAAAAUGGCUCUUUUACUCUUCACUCAAGGCUUUUAAGGACAUUUGCAGACCUUGUACGCAGUGGGAAAGAGGCAGAGGAGGAGAGUGACUGGGCAGCCCUCCCUUCUUUCCAAGUGGAAGCGGCCUAGCAGGCUGUUUUUAUCUCCAGGACUCUUCCUGAAGGAUGUGCUGAAUUAAUGCCCCAAGCAGGAGUGCAGCUGAAGGCUCACCGUGCCCUACAGAGAAGUGACAACACAGCUGCGGGUGGCAGGAUCCCUCCCUUGGUCUUUGUGCCCUUCAGUGGUGGACGAAGGCUCCAGCGAGGUGUUUGCAGCCUACAGAAGCCAUGAGCACGGUGCCUCUGCCUGUUGGUUCACCAAGCGAAGGCAACAGAGUCAAAGUAGUGGAAGGCCUGUGCACGAUGGGGCUGUGAUACUGGCCUGGGUGAGCAGCUAGCACUAAUUUGAGCAGCCCAAAGGUCACGACUAUUUAUGCAGAUAAAAGGUCAGUGGCAAGCUGGCAGGUGGCUGUGGGCUAUCUUGGUACGCGCUGCGCCCCGGGCGCUGAUGUCUGCGUCUGGUUCACAGUUAGUUUGUCUUUCCACAUGGACUUUCAGGCCAGGUUCUGGCUGAAAUAAAACACAACGGGGAAAGAAAUCUCUGGUCGUGUGAGUUGAUGCUGUUGGGAGACAGCUGCAGUUUUUGUGGCUUGGGCUCAUCUGUAGCUAAAUCAAACCUUUGAAUCAUUAUUUAUAAAAGACAGCCAAAUUCUGAACCGUUUGCUCAGUGUUUAGUCAGCUCUUACAUGGACAAACUCCUGUGAAAGCGUGCGUGAUGGCAGAUAAGGGAAAAACUGAAUCAGGUGCCCUGUUGAGAGGCAGCAUGUCUGGCCAGGAACUCCAGCAGCAGUGGGCGUCUGCACUGCAGGUGCCUGGGAAGAAGUCACCUCAGAGGGGCAGGACCUUACAGCACGGCCUGAAUUGCCAGAGCAGGUUCAGGUUAGCUGAAACAACAUCUAGGUGAGUGAAAAAGGGAAGCAGGUAUACUAUGUUUAGUCCAGUCAGAUUCUAUGCUAUGUUUGAAACUUUUAUAGUCAGUCAGUACCAGUGCCGCAUCCUUUUCUCUCAUUAGAAAGCAAAAAUGUUUUCAACCUUUGGUUCCAGGAGUUGUCUGUCUGCCUAUACCAAUUUUAAACAAAAUCCUUUAAUGUUCUCCUGUAAUUUGGUCCAAUACAGCCUGGUCUCCAAGACAAAAUAUGCAAAAUAUUUUGUGACAUUUCAUUCCCCAAACAAAAGGUAAUGGGAAAACAUCAUUAUAUUGAUUUGUUUUUCAUCACAGAGGUAUUUGGCAGCAUGCCCUAAUUAAGGUUGUAGCAAUAAUUUUAUUAUAAGCACUGCUUUGCCUCCCCUGGUAAUUUUUUAAUAGGAGUUAGCUAUUAGUCUGUUAUUUUGGUUUGCUAAUAAAGAAAAAAAUAUGUUACAAUGGAAACCUCCCAUGUAGAAAGCAACCAAAGCUAGUUGUCUUCAGACCUGGAAAAGCAUUUCUUUUUUUCUGUCUUCCCAUUGGAAUGGAUGACCACUAAAUUCUUCCCUGACUGCUGUCUUUCUAGGCCUGCCCCCACACCCAGGGAAGUUUAAGCAGUGACUUGAGCACCACCUGCUUGGAUGUGUUUUGUCAAGACUGAUAUCUCUAUUAUACCCUUUCUUCACUUCAUAUUUGGCGGACUUGGCUAUAGGCAAACUGAAAUGAAUCUGCAGCAGUGGCAUAGUCUGAUAGGUGAAACAGACUAAUUUGUAUGUGUUUUCCCACUGAAAAUGGCAAAAUUCCAGCCACUGAACGUUCACGAGUAUUCUGCUCAUUGUGUUCAAGCCAAAAAGUCUCCACAGGACAUUAGGGUUUGACCCGAUGUCCGCAGACACGCUGCACACAACCCAAGUGUGGUGGCACACUGGGUGGCCAUGCAGGACUUCCCUUCGAUGAAGCCUUCUGGCCCACCAGUGGGAGUGCAGGUGACUCCUGCAGACUUUCUCUCAAAUCUCUUUGGAGGAAAUUAAAAUAAGCCUUUGCAGAAACUGGAGGAAUCGGAAUGCACCCAGCCAUUUUCUGGAUUUAAUGCUACCUCUUGUGUUAUUGUCUUCAGUCUCUGAAAAACAGAACUGUCCAGUAGAUAAUGACUGUUAGAUUACUAAUUAGCACAUUUCUGUUAUCUUGGAGCAAAUACAUUUUUUAUGCUUUCCCUCCUAUUAAAGUAUUUCAGAAAACAAAACAGAAAAAGC
ensembl:lncRNA